rnacentral:rRNA from 1 species
UACGGGGGGUGCAAGCGUUAUUCGGAAUCACUGGGCGUAAAGGGCGCGUAGGCGGCUCCUUAAGUCAGACGUGAAAGCCCGGGGCUAAACUCCGGAAGUGCGUCCGAAACUGAGGUGCUUGAGUACGGGAGAGGGAAGUGGAAUUCCUGGUGUAGAGGUGAAAUUCGUAGAUAUCAGGAGGAACACCAGUGGCGAAGGCGGCUUCCUGGACCGAUACUGACGCUGAGGCGCGAAAGCGUGGGGAGCAAACAGG